UGGGGAAUAUUGCACAAUGGGGGAAACCCUGAUGCAGCGACGCCGCGUGAAGGAAGAAGUAUCUCGGUAUGUAAACUUCUAUCAGCAGGGAAGAUAGUGACGGUACCUGACUAAGAAGCCCCGGNUAACUACGUGCC
rnacentral:rRNA from 1 species